UGCUGUAACUUUAAAGACAGAACUGCUCCUGUGAGGAUCCAGCCUCUCUGUCCCUUUGGCUGUGCUCCUGCUCAGCAUCCCACCCGACGCUGCAGUUACUGAAACCUGUGCUCGCCUUGUUAGGCAUCGGCAUGACGGAGCCAAGCACUCCCGGUCUCACUGCUCAGAGAGUAACUCAUGUGACCCCUAGUAAUCGUGUUCAGAAAUUAUGAAUGUUCCCAUUUUCCAGAAGGAAAGACUUACGUAGCACAUUGCCGUGUUUGCUACAAGUCAGCAACCGACCAGAUGCUCGGUGCCGGAUGGCGUGAGAUCUGCGGGUGCAGCAGCCGCCAUCCCUUACCUGUCUGAGCAGCACUCCACGUGGCCGGGAUCGGAUUUCUGUUCCUCGAAAGGCUUCAAAGCUCUAUCAGAUGGCAGCGUUUUAUCAGUUUAGCUUUCUUGCUUUUGGGGAACAGAAUGAGUAGCAGCGGUGACAGAAGAGUCAUCUACGUGUAGACCUUAGCACAACUCACUAAUGCCUUUUAAAUUAAUUCGAAAGGCUGUCUUGGCUCAGAAAGGCCAGACCUUCCUCUUUUUAAUUAAAACUUUUUUAAAAGAAGAAAAAAAAAAAGAGUGAAUUUAUGCCUUAAUCUCCCUUUCUGGUCAAACAACGUAGCUUUCCUCACCACUAGCAAGCAGACUUUUUUUUUUUUUUUCCAAGCCCUGCCCUUCACUCAUAAACAAAACCAGGCAGGGCUACGUCUCAUUAUAGCCUGCACAGACACAUGGUCCCGCUGAGAGGGCAGCCCCAUGCAGAGCAGCGCACAACAGCAGAAGGAGCAGUUGUCUGCAAGUUUCCUAUUAGAACAGAGGCGCCGUUCAGACAUCGCUGGGGCUCUUUAGAAAUUCCAGUUUUAAGCCCCAGUCCAAGGGUUUGGAAACCUGGAAGCAAAAAUUUGUUGCUGAGUGCAUCGGCGUGCGGAGCUGCACCGCUGCCUGCGAGCACCCUGGACGCUGCCGGACAGACGGACAGAGCAAGCAGCUUUGUGAGCAUCUGCAUGCCAUGAGAAAUGGGGCAAGACAGACCAGUGAAUGUGGACAUUUUCUCAUUUGCUCCUCGGUUUUGGAUUUGGGCAAAACAUGACAGAUUUGGCUAACGCUGUAGAACUAAGUAUGUCAGUAAAUAACUCGUUCCUGUGCUAAGCGGUGCCGGUCUUGGCCUCAGAAGUUUACAACUGUCUUCACAAAGUUUACAGCUGUCUCAAUGCAAUUAAAAAGGAAGCAGCUUCGAACCCUGCAGUAGCGAUUACAGAAUUAAUCUAGAUCUGACAGCUCUAAACACGCAUCGGCACAAAUAUCAUUUCCUGAUCCACAGAUCAAAUGUUACAGCAGGUCUGCCAGCCACUGACAAGGGCAACAGUCCCGAGGUUUUCAUGGCAAUGAAGACGUUGGUAAUUGGGAUAAAAGCGUGGACUGCUACUUCCUAUGAGAAGAGAGGCUCUCACCACAGCAGCAGCUUUCGCUGAUGUCCCUGCACUCGUAUGGCUCCGUGCAAGGGCAGGGCAGGUUACCACGUUAGGGACACAGCACACGAGUGCCUCUCACGUGGCAGUCCCCAUUGGAAGGAGCCAUUUGUCUACACCUGAGCAGCGGACCAUUGACAAAAGCCACGGGCAUCUGAAAAGCAAACCUCUGCAUUGCCCAAUCUUCUCCGCUGGCUGCUCUUCCCACCCGAGGAAUGGGAGAGGAACAUUUGCCCGGGCAGCAAGCGCCAGCCCAGCUGUGCUCAAACCCAGGCACCCCAGUGCAUCCCCAUGAACCUCCACUUCACUUAUUAUUAACAAGAAGCUGCAAAAAAACAACACAACAGCACAAGAAGAGCCAGGCCAGUGAAGCCCGAGAGGCCACUCGGUUCACACUCCCCUGCUUCCCCCCUUUUCUUUAGCACCGCAAUGAAUUUAGGGCUAGCGGGAUGCUGGCUGAAUCGGCUGCAUUGUCUGCAGCCCGGGCUGCUUGGCUUCUGGCUGUGGCACAACCUUCCUGCUAUUGGGAGGCAUCUGUUUUGCAUUCAUUUCAAAACGGCUCCAUUGUGGUACCCGGCUUUUCUUUAAAUCGCUUUUAUCGCUGGUCUUAUCAGCUUUUGUGAGGCCAAGCAGCCCCGAGAGUAAUGGAUGCAGGAGGAGGCAGGGGCUGCACCAGCCCCGGCCUGAAAAGCUUCUCCUGGACGUUUUGGGAUUUCGGGUGAGAAAGGCGAAAGCGAUGCAAUGCCUGUCCUGUUGCUUGGAUACUUCCGAACUAGUGAAAAGAGCUGAGCGCUACACUGCUGGCAGGCCCUACCCAGCAUUGUAUAGAUAGAUGUACAGAUAUCUGGGAGCCAACAAACAUAACCAGGAGUGUUUGUAUUUGGAAAAUAUGAAGUGACCCAAAUGAAAAAAUCCCUAAAAAUCUACUGCAAAUACAAGUCUUUCAGCUCCAAGCUCCAGGCCAUUUCUCAGCUAGCUGUCACUUUUCACUUCAAAGGUUAUUCCUUAAAGCUAAAUAAAAUAUUUAUGUUACCCAGUAUGAGGCAUGAAAAUUAUGUUUUGCUCAUUUCUGCACGCAGAUUUGAAAUCUGCCUGUAAUUUCCUUUCUGUUAUUUGCAGGUUUAGCUGCGAAUAUUAAGUGCUCAUUAUUACCAGCACUGAAAAACCAACAACCAAUCCCAAGGUCAGACCCGGAUAUUAAGUGCUGGGUCAUUUCCUGCCUCAGUGACAGCUCUUCCCCAAAACACGAGCUAUCACAUCAGAUCUAUUAGAUUUUCUCUUUCUCUAUCAGAGGGUAUCAAAGUUUAUGCCAACUGUAGCACGACGUGUGCUUCUGCCCCGCAGCAAACCUGGGCAGGCUGGAGACUGUCGGACCCCUGUGUGCAUGCGUGCAGUUGAUAUAAACAUCAGUACUCAACUCAUCAAGCAGAUUUGUUUUUCUUUAUUUAUACCAAUAUAUCAAACAUAUCCAAUUUUGUUUGCUUGGUUUCAACCAACUCAGUUAGCAGCUCACUGCAUGUACUGCCUAAAUAAAUCUCAUAACAUUGCCAUUCCAUUUCUGUUUGUUUAAAAGCCCAGCUUUAGAGCCAGCAGCUCCCAAACCAGAAAUGAAAAUAUAUGUUUACUCAUCCCUGACCAAAUUUAACUCCUGCUAAAUUCAGUGUCAUUUUGCUACUAAUUUCAUUCAGGGCAAGAGAAAGUCCAAGGCUUUUUAUGUCCUGAGUUAAACAUUGAAACUAUAGCUUUCACCAAACAGUAGAAGUGAAAAGUGACUUGAAGUGCUACCGUUAUCCAUCUAUUCCCUGUGCAUUUGCUAGAAAAAGCUAACCUUUGUAAAGGCCAAAAUUUCCUGUUGGUUUUGCAUGAGUAAAUUUAAUGCUGUUCUACUGACCUCGCUCCUGAAUUCCAUCACACCUGAGAGCUGCCCCUGGCUCUAAUGGUUUUUACUUGUAUGGGCAACAGCACUGCACCUUCACCACCACAGUUGCUGGAAUCCAUCAUAUAACGGGUUUUACUGAAGUAUUAUAAAUAGAAAUAAAGAUUAUUAAAGCAUUUUCCUACCUUCAGUGUAAAAGGCCACAAGCCACCUCCAACCUGGAUCAGGCGAGAGGGAAAUCCCUCCCUGUACAUGGCAGCUAGCAUCCCUGUCAAAGCAGGCAUGCAACUAGGAGAUGCUUAAGGAACCAAAAGCCCCAGCCUAACCUACAGAGGAGAAGAAAAUGUUCAUUGUGAGGGAGCAUAACCAAAUAUACAACACGCAACAGCAGGAAGCCACCUCAAGAGUGAAGACCACAUCCCCACGCGAGGUGCCUCAUGUCCUCUCAGAUCCUGCCAAUACAAAGGGGUUUCACUGCCGGCACUGAAACCUACCCCAACGCAUCCGGAGGCACAAUCCUGUGUGGAUAUACACUGGGAUGUUACAUACAACCCACUCGGUGUGAUCAUUCGUGUGUGGUGAGGCCAUUGUCACCUCACAUUUGCCCAGCAGGUAGAAGAACAGCCCCAUCUGAAGAUAAUUUUGGAAGACAGCUUGCCAUCACGAACUGUAAAAUAAAGUUGUCCUCAUCCCGACAGCAUAAGAAGCACAAAUGAAGAAUUACCCAGUAAGCAAACUGCUACCACUUGGGGGAUUCAAGUAUUAGAGAGAAGCUACUUGAAGCCAAUAGGGGGAUCAAAUAUUAAAUAAUAAUGUAUUAGAAGUACUAAAUUAAAGAUGAAAUAUGCUUCCCAGCUUCAGUCUGAAGACCCACACCGCCUUUAAUCUGAAAAAAUGCGACGCAACUAAGAACAACUGAGAUAGCAUUAAUCUCCGGCUUCAGUGCUGCGACGGCGAAAAAUAAAAAGGACAGAUUUUAGUCCCAUGUGAGGUUUUAUCUCGGUCUCAGCCUGGCGAACCACUCCGAGGUGUUUGUCUUCCCAGCGUUUACCAGGGAAUCAAUGGCAACAAGGGGCCAGGAGCCUCCGUGCGGCCCAAGCUGCCCAGUGGGCGCAGGCCUGCAAGGCAGUGGCAGCGCCGGGCCUGCGCCGCCUGCACCUCCACGUUGGAAGAUAAGCAUGCCUGCAAUCUGUUCCACUUCAUGCUAAUUACAGGCAAAUCCUGUUUAGCCUACUCAUGAAAGUAAAUUGAUUUGCAUGGGAUUAUUUCCAGGGGUAAAAGGGAUCUAAGACUGGCCCAGAGGAUUUGGGGCUUUUGGGUGAGAUAUCGAUGAAGUCCCCAGUUGGCUGAACAUUGAGUGCUUUUGAUAUCGUGUUAAUACAGGUCAACAAAUGUGAUAGAGAGAUACCCUCCCUCCAAAGACCCUAAACAA